rnacentral:lncRNA from 1 species
UUAUAUGACAAUCAUCAUCAUAAGAAAGUAAAGCAUAGAACGUCACCACAUUUCUGGUUAUAUUGAAAAUCCAAAUGCUACAGUGAAGAUGUAUAUUUAUUUUUAAAUAUGAUAAAAUCGUCAUUUAAUUAUUUUUUUGUUGGUUUUUUUUUUUGGUUCAACGAAGAUAAAAGGUGAGAGCAUUGUAAAUUGAUCAUAUAUUAAACGUUCUUCAUUGUUUUUGGAUAGAAGGAAACCUACGUAAAUUCCAUUUUAGCCAUUGAGGUGUCUGGAAAGCGGAGGGAAAGUAGGGAUCCUGCACGGUGAGUGUACAGGUUUGGUGAGUGCUGAAUGUUAAGUAGAUGGGUCGGUUGGUACACAACAUCUAAUGAAUUGACACGUCAGAAGUCAAAGGGUGCUCGCUCCACUUGUUUGUAUUUCAAACAUGUCUGCGUGGAAGAGAGUGACAAGUUACUGCCUACCGUUUUAAAAAGGAAGCUCUGUAUCGGCCCGAUGAAUGUUCUAAGCAGUUUGUCACCCGCAAACGACCUUGCGCGAAACAAGACUUUUCCCCUUUCUCUUCUCCAGUUUUCGGAAACCACCUAGAAGUUCAGAAUGACAAUUACAUUUAAACUUUGAGGAAAGUAUGUAUUCGUUCAGUUCGCAAUGUGUAGCUUCUGUUUUUAUAACGCUAAAAAUAGUUGAAUGCGUAUUAAAAUUUUAACACGAAAACACUUAAUAUUUAUCAUUGCUCGCUUAACGUAAUGAACAGGUCCGACUGCCGCCUGUUUACAUUAUCUACAGGUGGAAAUUCCGUAAUAUAUACACAUCCGGAGGAGUGACAACGUUUCAUAACAGUAACAAGUUACCUACAUGCAAUACAUAUUUCGAUAAGCUAUGAAGACAAUUAAUUUUUUUCAAUUCUCUAAAUUUUUGAUAGAUGUCAUUUUUUCUCCUUAAAGUUUUUAAAAGCGUAAAUUCAAAUUGCGUCAUUUACGAAUGUGUGUAGUAUUUACGUGCAAACUAUCACACAUGGUCUAACGCUGUAAGUACUGUAUUGUGUAAAGUUUGCAGUCAUGUGGUAACAACUUGAAAAAAAAAGUAACGAUAAUGCAUACGUAAAAUGUAAAUGUCUCCUUUCUGGGCCGAAUUUAUAUAUUUGUUAAAUUCUUACCUCUCCUGUUGUCAUCCAAGCGUGCUAAAAAAUAAACCUUGAGUAUGCAGGUUACGACUAGUCUGACAGGUAUAUGGUGGGAGGUGAGGUUUCAAAAAGAAAAAUACUAUAUCGUAUCAGACCGUCUCAUUUCCAAAAAUAAUUUGGAUAUGAUGAUAGUAUGGUCUUUUUUAUAUAUAAUUAUCUAUAUUAAAAUUUAUAAUUACCUGUAUAUAUAUAUUUUUUAAGAAAUUUUCAUAUUUUUAAUUCAAAUUUUUUGUAGUGUGUUCUGGGACCUGUAUUGUGCCGCUCCCGAGAGGAGGGAUACGUGUGAAC